rnacentral:lncRNA from 1 species
AUGUGAUUAGAAAAAUGUGUUAUGUAAGUCUGGUUUCCUUUUAUUUACUAAUGGACAUGCUUUUAUUCAAUGAUUUAAAAUUGCAUACAUUCUGUUUUUGAAAGGGGAGAUUCCUGAAUUCAUUCGGUUCAUUGAUGUUAUAAAUUCAGUCUUGUGAAAAGUGGAAGUUAUAUUUGUGGAAGGUGAAUUUAUCUUUGAUUUUAUUUUAACAACUCAGACCAUAUAAAGAAAUGAAGGCUAACUGAUUAAUCAGGUUUGGCACUUUUAUUGCUACUUGCCUGUAGAACUGUUUGUGAAGACAUUGUGCCAGUGUCUCCUAUAAACUAAAUAGUCCAGAAAAUGAACUUACUGUGAAAUAAAAUUUACUUAUGUGAAGCCU